GAGUUUGAUCUUGGCUCAGGACGAACGCUGGCGGCGUGCUUAACACAUGCAAGUCGAACGGAGCACCCUUGACUGAGGUUUCGGCCAAAUGAUAGGAAUGCUUAGUGGCGGACUGGUGAGUAACGCGUGAGGAACCUGCCUUCCAGAGGGGGACAACAGUUGGAAACGACUGCUAAUACCGCAUGACGCAUGACCGGGGCAUCCCGGGCAUGUCAAAGAUUUUAUCGCUGGAAGAUGGCCUCGCGUCUGAUUAGCUAGAUGGUGGGGUAACGGCCCACCAUGGCGACGAUCAGUAGCCGGACUGAGAGGUUGACCGGCCACAUUGGGACUGAGAUACGGCCCAGACUCCUACGGGA
rnacentral:rRNA from 1 species